GGGGCUGAGGCUCAGUUUGGCUAGAGCGUCUCGUUUGCAACGAAAGGGUCGCGGGUUCGGCUCCCGUCAGCUCCA
rnacentral:tRNA from 1 species